ensembl:lncRNA
AAAAUACUGGAGGUAGCACAUCUAAACUACAUCGAUCACUGAAAUGUCAUUUUGUUACCUAACAUGGACCACUUUGCUGCAGUGCUAUUGGACCUGUGAGCAUUGCAGAGCUGCAUCCACAGGGCUUGUUCGUGAGGCUACACAAUUCCUCAAGGGAAGAGCAGGAUGUCGGAGACUUCCGUCUUCAGCAGAACAUAGAAGGGCACCCCACUGCAGUCUUCCACUUCCCUCACAGGGCCCUCAUCCCACCUCAUGCUUCUCUUAUGGUGUGGGCAGAGGCUUCACAAAGACCUCAUAUUCCUCCAGCGCAAUUCCUCUGGAGAGGAAUGGACCACCUUGGAGCAGAGCCAUGGGUCACCACCAUACUAUGUCAGGAGGACGGACAGGUCGUAGCAUGGUACACCCCAGCACUCUGCACCACUGAGUCAUGGCAAGCCUGGAAAAGACCACAUCAUCAUGGGAGUGUUCAGACAAGGUGCCAGUCAUCUCUGCUGUCCAGAGACCAGAAGAUGGGCAAGGAAGCACGUCAAUACCCAUUUUACACUCCUCCAGGGGGAGUGACCUAUUCAGACAGAAAGGACAAGAGGCCCUUUUUACUGCUAAAAAGGAAGAUGCAGACUACCCGGAUGUCCUGCAGCCCCUGGACCCAGGACCCCUGCUGCUUAACACACCCUGCACACAUUCAGCCAGGCAAAGUGGACUUCAGGGGCCUGCCAAAUAGGAAUAACUGGCCAUUGCUGUGCCAGUCUAACCCUGCCCCAGCAAAGAUCAUCAUUGGUGAGGGUUGUCCAUUUUAUCUGUAUCUCAUUGCCCAGACAC